AGUGAACGCUGGCGGCAGGCCUAACACAUGCAAGUCGAACGGCAGCACAGUAAGAGCUCGCUCUUACGGGUGGCGAGUGGCAGACGGGUGAGGAAUACAUCGGAAUCUACUUUUUCGUGGGGGAUAACGUAGGGAAACUUACGCUAAUACCGCAUACGACCUACGGGUGAAAGCAGGGGAUCUUCGGACCUUGCGCGAUUGAAUGAGCCGAUGUCGGAUUAGCUAGUUGGCGGGGUAAAGGCCCACCAAGGCGACGAUCCGUAGCUGGUCUGAGAGGAUGAUCAGCCACACUGGAACUGAGACACGGUCCAGACUCCUACGGGAGGCAGCAGUGGGGAAUAUUGGACAAUGGGCGCAAGCCUGAUCCAGCCAUACCGCGUGGGUGAAGAAGGCCUUCGGAUUGUAAAGCCCUUUUGUUGGGAAAGAAAAGCAGCAGGUUAAUACCCCGCUGUUCUGACGGUACCCAAAGAAUAAGCACCGGCUAACUUCGUG
rnacentral:rRNA from 1 species